AUUGAACGCUAGCGGGAUGCUUAACACAUGCAAGUCGAACGAGUGGCGGACGGGUGAGUAAUGUAUCGGAAAGUGCCCAGUAGCGGGGGAUAACUACUCGAAAGGGUGGCUAAUACCGCAUACUAUCGGAGCGGCCGAUAUGGGAUUAGCUAGUUGGGGGGGUAAAGGCUCACCAAGGCAACGAUCCGUAGCUGGUUUGAGAGGACGACCAGCCACACUGGGACUGAGACACGGCCCAGACUCCUACGGGAGGCAGCAGUGGGGAAUUUUGGACAAUGGGGGAAACCCUGAUCCAGCCAUCCCGCGUGUAUGAGAAGGCCUUCGGGUUGUAAAGUACUUUUGGCAGAGAAGCGGUAUCUGCAGAAUAAGCACCGGCUAACUACGUGCCAGCAGCCGCGGUAAUUC
rnacentral:rRNA from 1 species